rnacentral:rRNA from 1 species
UACGUAGGGUGCGAGCGUUAAUCGGAAUUACUGGGCGUAAAGCGUGCGCAGGCGGUUUUGUAAGUCUGACGUGAAAUCCCCGGGCUCAACCUGGGAACUGCAUUUGUGACUGCAUGGCUAGAGUGCGGCAGAGGGGGAUGGAAUUCCGCGUGUAGCAGUGAAAUGCGUAGAUAUGCGGAGGAACACCGAUGGCGAAGGCAAUCCCCUGGGCCUGCACUGACGCUCAUGCACGAAAGCGUGGGGAGCAAACAGG